rnacentral:siRNA from 1 species
UGGUCUUCGUAAGAGGGC